UACAGAGGGUGCGAGCGUUAAUCGGAAUUACUGGGCGUAAAGGGCGCGUAGGCGGUUUGAUGGGUGUGAUGUGAAAGCCCUGGGCUUAACCUAGGAAGCGCAUCGCAAACUAUGGAACUGGAGUAGAUGAGAGGGUGGCGGAAUUUCCGGUGUAGCAGUGAAAUGCGUAGAUAUGCGGAGGAACACCGAUGGCGAAGGCAAUCCCCUGGGCCUGCACUGACGCUCAUGCACGAAAGCGUGGGGAGCAAACAGG
rnacentral:rRNA from 1 species